rnacentral:misc_RNA from 1 species
GAAAAAUUAUGAUCUCUCAUGUGGUAAAGUUUGCAGUUCCAGCUGAAAAGGAAAGAAGCCAUGAAGUAUCUAUCACCUGAAAGUUAUGAUCUAUGAAUAGGAUAGCUUAGCUUUUAGUUGAUCCUUGAAGUGAAAAUUCUUUGUUUCACUGUGGUCUGCCCUUCUUUUAUUCCAUCAAUAAACAGUUUCAGAGGCUUUGUUGGUUUAAAUUGGAGAGAAUGUAGCAGGACCGAUGCCAAAUUGCUAUAAAAUAGCCUUUUCCCCUGCUAUUUAGUGGAGUAUUUGGAUGGAGAGGAAUGUUCACAAUUUUAAGAAUCAGGUCUUUCUUUUAAUUUGCUUUAGAAUAAGGUGGUGUUCUUGAUCUUUU